rnacentral:rRNA from 1 species
AUGGAAGUUGGAUUGGAUAGGUAGUCCCGAGAUGACAAGGGCUAUUGUUGAAUGUUGAGUGUUUACGUGAUAGUGUGAUUUGUGAGUUUGCAAUAGUAAUGAAAUAUUAAUCGGUUGUCAGGAUAGCUGGUUUUCUGUAAAGUAGUAUAUACUAGUUUUGUGUUCGUGCUUGUGAGAUUAGUCAUAAGUAGUUUAAUUUAGUGUCAGAGGAGUAGCGGUUUUGGUUGUUUUAAUAGUUGGUAUAGGUAGUGUGUUAUAACUAGUGCUGUGGUUAUGUGGAUUUAAAUAAGAAUUAAGUCAAAGCAGAGUGUUGAUUAUAUAAGUGAAGUGUUGAGUAAAAAUGGCAGAAUGAGUAUGUAGUGUAUAGGAGUUAAAUUAUUAAGAAAGGUGGAGAUGAUUUAGAUGAGAGGUAAGUAUGAAUAACUCGGGCAAUAGAGUUCUAAAAUGUUUAUCAAAAACAUUUCUUUUUUAUUAAAAAGUAGGUCCUGCCCGGUGAGAGGUAAACGGCUGCGGUAUUCUGACCGUACAAAGGUAGCAUAAUAAAUAGUCUUUUAAUUGGGGACUGGAAUGAAAGGUUUAAUUAGGAAUUGGCUGUUUUAUAUUUGAGGGUAAAAAUUGAUUACCAAGUGAAAAGGCUUGGAUGGAGUAGAGUGACAAGAAGACCCUAAGAGUUUUAUGGGCGGUGCUGAAUGGAACGAGUUAGUUGUAAAUGUCAAUUGGGUGAUUAGCUUGUUUGACUGGGGCGGUUGGAAUAAUAUCUAUUUGGAAGGGGACUGUAAUUGCAGAGGCAGUUGAGUUUAUAUCCUAUAUUGGAAAGCAAAAUAAAUUACCUUAGGGAUAACAGCAUAAUCUUUUUUGAGAGAUCUUAUUGACAAGAAGGUUUGUGACCUCGAUGUUGGAUUUGAAUUACUUAGUGGGGCAGCAUUUAUUAAAGUUGUCUGUUCGACCAUUAAAU